rnacentral:rRNA from 1 species
CAGCCGCCGCGGUAAUACGAAGGGUGCAAGCGUUAAUCGGAAUUACUGGGCGUAAAGCGUGCGUAGGCGGUGAGUUAAGUCUGCUGUGAAAUCCCCGGGCUCAACCUGGGAAUGGCAGUGGAUACUGGCUCGCUAGAGUGUGUCAGAGGAUGGUGGAAUUCCCGGUGUAGCGGUGAAAUGCGUAGAGAUCGGGAGGAACAUCAGCGGCGAAGGCGGCCAUCUGGGCCAACACUGACACUGAGGCACGAAAGCGUGGGGAGCAAACAGGAUUAGAUACCCCCGUAGUCCCUGUCUCUUAUAA